UACAGAGGGGGCGAGCGUUAUUCGGAAUUAUUGGGCGUAAAGGGCGCGUAGGCGGCCUUUCAAGUGACGGGUGAAAUCCCUCGGCUUAACCGAGGAACUGCCUGUCAGACUGGAAGGCUUGAGACCGGGAGAGGUGAAUGGAAUUCCCAGUGUAGCGGUGAAAUGCGUAGAUAUUGGGAGGAACACCAGUGGCGAAGGCGGCUCACUGGACCGGAACUGACGCUGAGGCGCGAAAGCGUGGGGAGCAAACAGG
rnacentral:rRNA from 1 species